rnacentral:lncRNA from 1 species
CAGAGGCAUUGGGAAAGAUCAGUUUGUGACACACUAUGCAACAAGUUGGGACUUCAUGAUAUUCAGUCUCCAACUUGAAGGAGAGUGUUAAGAAAUAUCAUGUUACCAUAUAUUCACUUUCUUAUUUAGUGUAAAUAUAAUCCCAAACCGUAGGCUUCGGUCUGGUAAUAUAGCUGAGGGGCCAAGAUGAUGGUGAAAUGGUAUCAGAGCAGUCAGGUUUAUCCUACUGUGAUGGCUCAGCUAUACAUGUGAACCGUCCUAUGGCUCCCUGAGGGUUAAAGCCAAGGUGUUGCAUCCAUGUAUACGUUUCCCUCGAAGUAAAAGUACCGUAGGCUUCGGUCUGGUAAUAUAGCCGAGGGGCCAAGAUGAUGGCGAAAUGACAUGUUUAUAUGUUUGUUGGUUUUCUAUAAAUGUAAAAAAGAACUUAAAACUAAAGUUGAUCUUUCUGCACUCAAGUUGGUUUCCUAUUUCUUGAGUUUCAGAUGGGAAAGGAAAAAGAAAAGUAAGUACAAGGUCAUAAUAUUACGGAAAUUUGGUCAAGAGCUUCAACGGAAUUUCCAACAAAACUCAAAAAUAGAUGAGAGACACAGCCCCUUAACUUUUAAUCGAACACCAAAUGUCAGUAUAAGAGAGAUGAAUAACAAAAGAGCAAGCUUGCAAACUUGGAAAACAGAAAAGAGUAUACCAUUAUUUUAGCUAGACUAUGUUACAGAUAAUAGCAUUUGCGCAAACAUAUCAGCUGACAUCCCAAGGACCCAUACUAAAACUGAAUAUGCUGAUGCAGUGGAAAGUGGAAACAAGAAUAUUGUUCAGAUACAGCUAUCCCACUGGUGAAACUUAAAACAUAUAUACCCUUGCAUUAUGCUGCAAAUUAAAGAACAGUACUCACCUGUAGUGACAAGAGAGUUCGUCAAAGGAAGACCAUCAAUAGUAAAGGUUGAAAGGUCAUAUAACAAAAAAAAAAAAAACAAUUACACAUGUCUCAGUUAUGAAAAGGAAACAGGAUGUAGAAACAAGAUCCUAUAAAUCGUCACAGAAUAUGGAGGAACAAAGAAUAACCAAAAAACAAUCAACAAUUAUUAGGUUGAAAGUAUAGGACUUUCAUCCCCGACUAGUAAGGAAACAUAAGAAAGCCAAAUCAGUCAGGUUCUAAAGAAUUUUUCUUUAACUAUGAACAAUAUUCAGAAUAAAAAUAGAGUGCACGUUUUUUCCACCAUUACUGACUUCAUACAACUGUUUGACAUCAUGCAGUUUGACAAACAUCUUAAACAAAGAAGACAAUCAGGCAGGCACAAGCAAGCAAAUUGCGAUGAAUAACGUUAACUUUGCUAAACCAUUUUCCCCAUAAUAUCCCUGUAAAUGAAACCUAUAAGGUUAUAAAGGAUCUUAAAGCUGACAUUUCACAUGUCAAGGAUUUGGUCAUCUGCUCCCGAUCACCUACCUAGACCUUGAAAGGAUCGAAAAGCUUCCCCCCCCCCCCCCAAAACAUUCUGGGGAGAGAAGGCAAACCUCCAUCCACCAACAGACCCUCCAAACCAAAGGUAGACAUUGACAAAACCAAAACAAAAAAAGAAAGAAGAAAAAAAAAAACUAUGCAGGCUGUGCAUGAUCUGAAAUAGGUACAGCUGAAAUGUGUUAGAUACAAGAAUUCACCUGGUGACUUACAUGAUUUCUAGCACUACAAUAUACAUCAACUUAAUAGAGUUCCACAAGGAACUGUAAUAUGAGGUGAAAGGUCCUUCGCAGCAACAUAUGCUCCUGCACAAAGUAAUUAGCUAGCACAUACAGCCUAAUGUUUCUGUGCUUAAUGUUAAUCAUUCGAGAUUAAGUUGUAG